AGCACUUCCUUCCUGCCCGGAGUGGCAGUUGGGUCUGGUGACUAGUACUUCCUUCCUGCCAGGGUGGAACUUGCUGCCUGGUGUUGGAGGAGGUAGGAGCUUGUUCAGCCCAGUCUGGUGUGGUGUGCUGCCUCUUCCUGGUUCAGCCAGAAGAUUCAGGCCCAGUCGCUUCUGAAGAUCAUCUGAAAUCUAAUCACUGACCCUCAUCGGUCAUGGACCCCAGUUUAAGGAUUUCUACAUACCCCAAAGAUCAGAGUGGUUAAGAGACCUCUACAGGGUAUCUGCUCCAUCUCUUCAAGCAGCAUCCUGUUGUUUUUGUUGGUCCUUCAUUUCUGAAAGAACAUCAGUGGCAUCAUGGGGUAAUAUCUUGACUUGAACAUGAACUGGAUUUAUCUGAGACAGAACUGCACAAAGUCAUCAGUCUCACUUUCCCUUCUAGAGUCAUCAAUGUCCAAUGACCCUGAAGAAGAAUACCAUCAAUGGAAGAAGACAGUGUCAAGUAGGACUACCACCACGGAACAAGGCAGCAGGCACAACAACAGCAGCAGCCUUGUGGCAGCAAGCUAGAGUUGAAUUCCAUUUAAAUAAAAUGCCAAAAGCCAGUCA
rnacentral:lncRNA from 1 species